AUUUACUCGAUGACCAAUCAAAUAAAUGACCAGGUUUUUGGUCGAGGUGGUAGGGUCAGUAGUCUUGGAUGGGUAGGAGAACCGAUUAGCUCGAGUAAUCAUGACUAAUCUGAUGACUUAUAAACAGUGAGCAUGACUAGUAAAGAUAAGUAAAAAAAGCUAGGUCUUUAGUUUUACACAACACAAGGACUAAAAGGUUCUAGAGAAACUUGGCUCAUUGUCUCGACAAUGAGAAAUCACAAGAAAUUGUGAAAAGAGUCGGAGGUAACUUGCCCUGUGGAGUAGAGAUGAACCAGCAAUAGCAGCAGCUCGACCUUGUAGUAACACACAACAAUAUACCUUGCACCAUAGGAGUGUUCACGGAAGCACUUCACAGAAGAUCCCUGUUGUGGCCACGUUGCACGGUCCAGUAGCAUUGUCUAAGAAUAUAAAGUCAACCAGCUUUUGGGAUUUGAAGACAAAGCUUAAGCAACCCAAGAUCUGGUUUCUCUCAACAUAAACAUAUUCCUCCACGAGUAAGUUUCUCCUGAACUUGUCUGCCUAUUUUCUGGAAAACAAAGACAAUGGUUAGUUUAAGACUUGAAUAUUCCCAAGUGGCCAUACAUUGUUUAAAAUCAUCACACAAGACGUAAAAUAUUAUAUAUUCCUUAAAACAAAGUUUUCGUACAAAACUGACAUCUAGAUUCCUUUCUCGAAAUUUUUUUCUUUAAAAGGCGUGAUUACUAGCUAGUGGGUCCAACGGCCAGCCGUACGUGGGACAUGACAGGAACUAGCAGGAACGAGUGAUUCCAGCAUUCAGAUUUGUCCUCUGCCUGAAAACAAGUAUUAACAAUUGUUCUUUGAUUCUUUAAAAAAGAAGCGGUCGUUUCUACUUAUUUAUGCAAAAAAAAAGAAUUCUCCUCUUCAGGACUACUCUUUAGGGCUCGUCCAGGAACCCAUUUUUCCAAGGUGUUUAUAUUUUCUCAAAAAAAUUAGUUCAUUUUUUCUUAGAAAAAUAGAAAUCCCUUAAAAAAUCGAGUUCCUAAACUAGCCUUUAGGAGGAGAAAAUGUUACGAGUAGCUUGCCUAAGAGAUAACUACUCUAUCCGGUUCAAUAAAGCUUACAAUUUAAGUUUUUUUAGGAGUCAAAAUUUUAAGUUUAAUCACUACAUAAUAACAGUUGAAGGACAGGGCUCAUAUGGUGGCGAGAAGCCUUUACACUACACUACCUAUGUUUAAUUAAGUCUCUCUGCGUAGAGAUUAAGCUCGUCUCAAUUAUUCCUUUCUUAGAUCUCACUGUGGGAGCUGUUAGCACACCGAACGUUUCACUUUGUACUAAUAUUUAUACUAUACAUGUCUGAUAUUAAAUAAGUAUAUUAGAUCAAUAUAGAAUAUUUUCUUAUAGUAAGCUUAUUUAGAGACAAAUAUUAAAAGUAUCUUAUAUAAACUUCACCAGUCAAAUUUACGAAAAAAUAAUUUGUGUAAAUAUACUUUUUGGACGAAGCGAGUAGAUGAAUGUAACAUGGAGUCAUUGGACAGAUAUGUUAUGAUACAGUGCCACAAAGGGAUUUCAUAGAAACGUCAAAAGUUGACAAAAAAAAUGAAUGUAAUGUAGGGAGGGAUUAUUUCAUACAUCCAAAGCCAAAGCCAAAGCCAAAGAUAUAUACGUAGGAGGCUAUUGCACUAUAAGUUUGGUUUAGCACCAAUGAGAAAUAUAUAAUUAGAACAAAAUUUAAUCUUGGUCCCCCCUAUAAAUACUCAACCCAAUGCUACAAAUCUAGAUAGAGGGCAUCCAUCAUUUAGAAAGCAGCACACGCAGAAAUAAAAAUAUGAAUGAAAUGGAACGGAGCAAGUCAAAUCAGUCCCCAAUCUAUAGAUUUAUCCUAGCUAUAGAUAACAUAUAUAUUCACAGCAUCAUAAAAAAAAUAAUACAGAACAGGCAUGCUCCAAAAGGGCAGCUAACAGAAGCAUCAUGAAGCUUAAAAGGCAUGUCCAUCCACAGGCAAAGUGCAGGCCGCGCAUACACUGAACUUCCAGAUCAGGCUUUAAUGCUUCGCUUGAUCUUUCCCUACAACUAGUCACGUAAUCUAUUGAAUUUUGAUGUGAUAAGAACGGAACUAAAGUCAAAAAGACCAAUGCGAUCAACCAAGCCAUCAGUUUUUAAUUGACAACUUACCAAGAUUCCUUUAUCCCAGGCCACUUUUAUCGAUUAGUUAAUCUUUUCGAUGCUAAUCGUAGAGGCAACUAUCAUUCCUACACUUCAAAUCUUCUUUGGCCUUUCUUGAUGCUCUAGCUGUGAGAAUAUAUUUGUGUAAAAAGUGCUUUGGACUUUUAAUGGCUGUUACUUGAAUGGAACAAGGCAGGGUCCAACAAAGGAUGAUCAUGCUCAAGAUGCUCUGGAUCAAACUGAUGGUGACAUUAAGCUUUGUAGGCUUAGUGGAAGAAGUAGAGAGCUGGAAACCAGCAGCACUUAGGGUGCGGCAUCUUGGAAGGCUAGCUGCGGUCCUCCUGACCUGUCUAUGGAUAUAUUAUUAGAACACAUAUUGCAAUAGUAAUCUAUAAUAAAAUGAAAGCCCUCAUCAAAAAGCAAAGUUUUGGUCAACUCAUAGCAGAUACUGAACUUCGUAUAAACUAUGAGACUUUUCAAAUUUGAAUAGCAGCACCGCCACAACACUAGCACCAUGUCUAUAUAUUACUGUAUCAUGUAAUAAUAAUAAUCCCUUGAACUCGAAUUUUGCUUUAAUCUAGAAAAAUAAAUUGGGUCAAAGCGAAACAUGACAAUAUGAAAUAACUACCUUGACAUGUAAGUUAUGAUCAGAAAGGAAUUUUACAUAUGCUCUGAGGAGAAUGGUGAAGUCUUGCACCAAAAUCCUCCAAUCCCCACUACUAAUAAUUACUGGACUCUUGUGCAUGAGAGAGAUGCCUUAGUUACUGGACUCUUGUGCACGCUCUAUUGGUCAAUAGAAACGUAAAGGAUCCAUCCACUUAAUCGUAAACUCUGGAGACUAUGAGUUAAUAUUUGCCGCUAGCAAAGUUAAAGAUCAAGACCUAAAGAAAAUCUGCAUAAAGUAAAAAGUAACAGGAGAUCCUGGUAGGUCAAAAAGCAAACUCCUAAUUGAGAUUUCUCAUAUCACCAGAUAUAAGCCAAAAAGAAAUUACAGUUUCAGCUGAAAAUUUAUGGACGUAGAACAGCUAAAUAUCAACAAUAAUAAGCCUUUGUCGGUUUGUCCUAAACAAGUUGGGGUAGAUUAGAGUUGAAACCCAAUAAAAAACAUAAGUUAAGUUUCAAAUACAUAGAUAGCCCAUUUUUUAUGUACUCUUAUUAGAUUAAAGCUUUAGAUAUAUUCCAUAAAUUUAAGUGUACUCAUAUUCAAGACAAAUCUUUGGAUAUAUUCCAUCAUUUUAAGUCUCUUUUUACUCCAUAUCAACUUCAGCCUUCUGCUACCUUUUUUUCUAUUGCUAUCGUGCCUUAGGAUCCUAAUACACAUUGGUCCCCUCUACAGGUCUUCGUUAGACAUAUUCAAACUAUCUUAAUCGGUAUUAGACAAGCUUUUUUCAAUUGAUGCUACCCCUACCUAUCACUUGUAUCAUCGUUAUACACUCGAUCCCUUCUUGUAUGUCCAUAAAUCUAAUGCAACAUAUGUAUUCUCAUAACACUUAUUUGCUGAACAUAUCACCUUUUUAUAGGUCAAUAUUAUGCAACAUAUAACAUAGCAAGUCUAAUCAUCAUCAUAUAAAAGUUAUCUUUUAGCUUCUAUGAUACUCUCUUAUCAAAUAUAAUGCUAGAUGCUACUUUAUCCACCCUAUUUAUAUCCUAUGGCUACCACUUCACCAAUAUCCUCGUCUCUCUGUCACAUUGAUUCUAAAUACUGAAAGGUCUACUUCCUCGUGUGUAGUAAUGCUUAAGUCACAUCUCAUAUAUUUGGUUUUAGUUCUAUUGAGUCUAAAACCUUUGAAGUAUAGAGUAUCCCGCCAAAAUUCUAGUUUCUUAUUUACUCAUGUCUGACUUUCAUCAACUAGCACUAUAUCAUCCGAAAAAGACAUAUACCAAAGAAUAUCUCAUUGUAUAUCCCUUGUGACCUCAGCCAUCACCAAUGCAAAAAGUUAAGAGCUCAAAGUUGACUCUUGACGUAGUCCUAUUCUAAUCGGAAAGUCAUAUAUGCCUCCAUCACUUAUUCAAACACCAGUGGCAACAUUGUUGUACAUAUUCUUAAUGAGCCCAAUGUAUUUUGUUGGAACUUUAUGUUUGUUCAAAGGCCACCAUAUAAUAUUCUUUAGUAUUUUGUCAUCGAAAACAACCACCAACCCAGUAAUCAACUCUACAUUGUCAUUAAUCUACUUUUCUGUCUAAAACAAAAGCAUAACAGGCUAACAGCUUACUGUUACCCUCAAAUAACCAGUAAUUUUCUUUUCAUUUAUUUAUACAAAUGAAAAACAUCCUGCUGUUAUCAACUUUAAGCGACAGUUACAUUACAGAUAAUUUGUUAAACUUAAUUUGUUCAAUUCUGUUAUCAACUUUUGAUUCCUCUGCCCAACAUCUGCAAAGCUUACCUGGACACCAUUACCUUCCAACUAUCACUUUGAAAUUGUUGAAUUUACGACUACGGCAUCGUAAAAUUUCUUUUUGUUCCUGAACAGCAUGCCUAAGAAAGAAACAAAAGAUUAGCAGCAUGGGAUUUCCAUGCGCACAUGUCAAGUCUAUUCCCAGGUUCAUGUCCCAGCCACCGUCACUUUCUCAAAAGAACAAAAGCUAGGAUACAAGCAAACUUUUCCGUAAAAAAGGUGAAAGCAAAGUAAAGCAAGAUUGUUUUGACCCUAAUGAGUUCAUGGUCCCCUUUGACUACACAGAUGCAAAACAGUGUACUAAUCUACAGAAGCCACAGUCCAUUGGUAUAGAUGCCAUGCUCUCUCUAACUAACUCAGCUUUUGUAACUGGAGAUCAAAAUAAAUCCUCAGAUGCCAUUCGAGGAACGACCAAAGAAAACCCACCCAUGCGUGGACGGCUGGACCACAUUCCUCAAGUGCUUGGUCCAAGACUCUCUAGGCAAACUUUUGACCGCGGUUGGAAGAAACCAAAAACUGAACGCAACCAAUGCGAGCGAAAGCAAUCGUGCACUGAACAUUCAGUGUUUCACAACUGCCAGUCCCUUCCCCCAAGAGGCCAUGGCUCGUUUUAGCUACAGGCUCGUCAUGGAAUCGUGCCAGUUUCAGAGAAGGGUCACGCACAAUGCGACAGGGCACGACCAGAACAGUUUUGUCGCAGGAUCCGACAGACUGUUUCAGAUUAUGCCUGAAAACAGCUAGAGGUUCAAACACUGCAGAAUUCAGACACGAAGCAGAACUGAAUACCUUACUAUUGGUCUUGACACAGAUGUGGAAAACAAAAAAAAGGUGAACUUUUUUCGUUGUUUGAGGUGGAAAGUAGAGCUGGCUUGUUUUUUGGACUGAUCAGUUUGGUCAGAAUAAAAUGCCAAAAGCAUCUCAUAACCGCUAGAAGAGGUGAAGAGCACGGCAUGUUUAAAUACUCGAGGACUGGUUGAGAUGCUGCUGGUCCGUACCGAUGGCGUAGCCGCUGGAGAUACUUCCUCGAUCUUCCGUGUGCAGCGCCUCUCUGGAAUGAUGCCAAAUCCGCCGUCGGAUCGCGACUCGGAACUACCGCCGCCGGCGACGCAUCUCGCUACGAGGACGCGGCGGGGCCGGGCUACGUGGAGAGAUGAACGACAUUCUUC
rnacentral:lncRNA from 1 species